CCGGGCCCAAUUUUUUUUUUCUUUUUUUCUCAAGACAAGAAGGAAUUCGCUCCAUUUUCAUUCUUCACUAACUGGAAAUAGGAAAAAAAAAACCUGUGAACGGAAAUUAGGGCUCUCAAGUUGCAAUUUCGGUUGCAGAUUGGGGUGGUACCGUUGCAAUUGCAAUAAUUUUUGAAGAGGAAAAAAAAGAUUCGGACCACUUCCGAAGUAGUUCCUUAACCCCGAUUAGUCAUUUGCAUCCUCCAAUUUUGAUGGAAUAUGUUUAAUCUAUGAUUUCGUUCUCUUAAUGCUUUGAAGUUUAUCUAGGGUUUGCUAUUGCAAUUUGGUAUCAGAAGAUUGAUUAACCUUUAUCUAUGGCCCGAGCACGCAAUCUAAUUGUCGCUGUGGGUUUAGUUGCUUUCGCUGCAGCAGGCAUGACAUUUCCCUUCUACAUGGCUUCAUCAAGGAAACCUGUUAUUGACCCAACAAAGCCACUUCCACCACAAGCAACUUUUCUAGGGCCUUACAUUAACACAGGGUCGCGUGAUGUUGGUCCCCAGAAGAAAUGAAGCAAGUUCAGUUAUUUGAUCAAGCUCAUAUAUGUGCUCAUUGUCUGAGGUUAAAUUUUUAUACCUCAGUUUGGUGGAUCAUGACUUUGAAGGAAACUAUGGAUGGGAAAUUUUUUCUGUAAGAGGUGUUACACAAUCUGUAUGUAUGGUUUAUGUUGAUCUUAGCAAUUUUAAUAAAAAGCUGAAUGAUGUUAAUUAUCAUGUCACGUUUAUUGCCUGUCUUGUCUUGUGAGUUGUGACCAUACCACAACAACAACAAAAGUCCUGUUCCACUAGCCGAGGUCAGCUACAAUUACAUGACACUGAAUAUUGUUUAUUAUGAUAUUCCUCUUAACAAAUUCUCUCCCUUUUCAUAGAACUAUAAAUAAUGUAAUUUGCUCUCUUCACUAAUACCUCCAGUGACCUUUUUUGCACUUCUCUUUCUUUGUCUUGUGACCAUACAGUGGCAAAAAAUUUAAGCUCUGUAGCAACCUGCACCUUUGUGCAAAGCUUAGUUUGUGAUUGGAUUUGAGAUUGCAAACAUGGUUUUGGCUUAGUUUGCGAUUGGAUUUGAGAUUGUAAACAUGGUUUUGUAUAGCUGGUGCAAUACUCUUAAUGUAAUUAGUUGCUGCUUCUUGUAAAACUCAGCGGUACAAAUCCACACACACGAUUAUAGUUGCUGGCUUGCUGCCAAUUACACAGGUUUGUACAUUGAUUUCAUGGAAGAUUGGCUUACGCUUGCAUUGCUGUGUGUACAUUAAAACUUAACUGUAUUCAGGCGACUGACUGCAGUUGUAUUCUUAUGGCAAGUUUGUUUCAAUUUAUGGCAAGUUUGUUUCUAUGUGCAUUUUGAUUCUUCUAGUUUUAGUACUCACAUUUGG